rnacentral:lncRNA from 1 species
AGCAGGUGCUUUUCAGCCACAGCAGAAAGCUGGCACUUGGAGAGCUGAAGGGUUUGGUCCCCAGCACAGAAUGGACAGCUCCUCUUACUCUGUUUUUGGCCUCCCAUCAUUAAUACUUCUGCAGCCCCUCCCUCCAGCUGCAUCUAGCUUGUGUUGAUCUCUCUGGAGAGCAGCAGAUCGUCAGGGAGAUCCAUCUGUUAGACCAGCCAGGGAGCAUCCAUGCCACUAUGGACAUUUGCAUUUUCUGCACCAACUUGACCUUGGGAUCUAUUUAUCAAGUGGC